rnacentral:misc_RNA from 1 species
GAUGAAGAACGUAGCGAAAUGCGAUAAGUAAUGUGAAUUGCAGAAUUCAGUGAAUCAUCGAAUCUUUGAACGCACAUUGCGCCCUCUGGUAUUCCGGGGGGCAUGCCUGUUCGAGCGUCAUUAUAACCACUCAAGCUCUCGCUUGGUAUUGGGGUUCGCGGUUUCGCGGCCCCUAAAAUCAGUGGCGUUGCCUGUCGGCUCUACGCGUAGUAAUACUUCUCGCGAUUGAGUUCGAUAGGUCUACUUGCCAGUAACCCCCAAUUUUUACAGGUUGACCUCGGAUCAGGUAGGGAUACCCGCUGAACUUAAGCAUAUCAAUAAGCGGAGGA